UUUAAUAGCGCGGGGGGGGGGGGGGACCGGCACCCGUACCCAGCGUUCGCCGGGUGCGAAAAUCAGGCAAGGCGGGAGGCUCUGCACGGUGCUAGGCCUCGACACCCAACACGCCACUCUGAGGUGUUUUUUGUAAAGCAUUUUAUGGCCGUGAGACGUCGUCGCUAUAUCAACAUUAAUUUCACAUCGGCUCAACAGUUCCUCAUCUCUCAGCAUGGGGGCCCCAUGUGUCCAAAGAUAAAAAUCCGUGGAGACACCAAGAUUCUGGCCACCUCGUGGGCACGUGAACAGAGAGUCAUAAGGGAGGCCCUGUGGCUCCACAUCCUUGGAUCAUGAUUUGAAGUUUUCGUGACUGCAAGGAUUCAUACUCUUUGGUCACAGUGCUUUCAUUGACUGGACCAAAUACCAUUGCAAGAUUGAAAAGGUCAGGAAGAGUUUAGCGCGAGCCGCGUUUGAUCGAUACGGAGCAAGUGCACGGACUGAUCCAUAUUCGCCCACCACCUGGAGCUGAUGCCAUCAUCAGAAGCUCAACGUCGACUAAUUGCACCGCACCACCCGAAGCGCGCUUUUCUUUUAUUGCCCGUGACGUUGGUGCUUGCGUUUUUUUUUUCGCAGCAAGCUCGCCGACCAAAUCUGCACGUUACCCUCAAAAGUAAGCCCCCCCCCCCCCGCCAAUGCCGGGUUAAGCUAGUGCGGGGCCUGUAGCAUGUGUUAUAAUGGGGCCCUAAAUAAAAAAAUACACAAGUAAAUAUGAAACGCACAAAUUUGUUAUAUUGCAUAGUAAAGUAAUUGUAUUUUUUUCAUUUGCUAUACAGCCAGAUAAUACGACAGAUCGCUAACCUUAAACACGCCAGUCGUUCAUAAAAGUUGAAGGCGGUAUAGUACUAUAGUAAUAGAGCAAGUGCAGAAUCACUGAACCGGAAAUUGAUAGCAUAGCUUGAAAGCAUUUAGCGCGGGGCCCUUGAAAGUGCGGGGCCCGUAGCAUAUGUGGCUACUUUUGCGACGAGGAUAAUCCCGCACUGCCUCCAUAACCGCCGUGCCACCUCGAGAUCGCUUCCCAAUGCCAAAGGCGUCGUCCGUAGCUGGCAUCAUCCACGCAUGGCACGGCGCUGAGCGCCACCUCCGGCUUGUUAGAGGCACAACAUUACGCCGUGGCUUAUGCAGUGUUGAGUCUAUGGGCAGUGUUGAGUAUAUGGGCAGUGUUUAGUCUAUGGGCAGUGUUGAGUCUAUUGGCAGUGUUGAGUCUGUGGGCAGUGUUGACUCUAUGGGCAGUGUUGAGUCUAUGGGCAGUGUUGAGUAUAUGGGCAGUGUUGAGUCUAUGGGCAGUGUUGAGUCUAUUGGCAGUGUUGAGUCUAUGGGCAGUGUUGAGUCUAUGGGCAGUGUUGAGUAUAUGGGCAGUGUUGAGUCUAUGGGCAGUGUUGAGUCUAUGGGCAGUGUUGAGUCUAUGGGCAGUGUUGAGUCUAUGGGCAGUGUUUAGUCUAUGGGCAGUGUUGAGUCUAUGGGCAGUGUUGAGUCUAUGGGCAGUGUUGAGUCUAUGGGCAGUGUUUAAUCUAUGGGCAGUGUUUAAUCUAUGGGCAGUGUUGAGUCUAUGGGCAGUGUUGAGUCUAUGUGCAGUGUUUAGUCUAUGGGCAGUCAUCUU